AAUCAACGCUGGCGGCGUGCCUAACACAUGCAAGUCGAACGCGAAAGGGGAGCAAUCCCUGAUUAGAGUGGCAAACGGGUGAGUAACACGUGGGUGACCUGCCUUCGAGUGGGGGAUAACCUUCCGAAAGGAGGGCUAAUACCGCAUGACAUACCGUGUUUGGAUACACGGAUAUCAAAGCCGGGGAUCGCAAGACCUGGCGCUUGGAGAGGGGCCCGCGUCCGAUUAGCAGUUGGUGAGGUAACGGCUCACCAAGGCUCCGAUCGGUAUCCGGCCUGAGAGGGCGGACGGACACACUGGAACUGAGACACGGUCCAGACUCCUACGGGAGGCAGCAGUGGGGAAUUGUUCGCAAUGGGCGAAAGCCUGACGACGCAACGCCGCGUGGAGGAUGAAGAAUUUCGGUUCGUAAACUCCUUUCGACCGAGAUGAAUACUCAUGGACCCAACACGUCCGUGAGCUGACAGUAUCGAGAGAAGAAGCCCCGGCUAACUCUGUGCCA
rnacentral:rRNA from 1 species